UCCUGAGUAAAGCGUGUGGAUGAGGAGAUAAAACGUCCUCAUCAAUGGAACGCAGAUAGCAUGAUUCUUCAUGGCAACAGAAUAAAAAAAGGGCUCAAACCUCUUACUUCGCCCCAGUGGCGUUAGAAAUAUUAAUGAGAGUAUGCAGAAUAUGAGUAUAUAUUUAAGAAAAAAGCAAUACAGUACUAGCAGCAAAAUAAUGUGAGCUGGAAUUGCAGGAAAUUGCUGACCUAGUCAAUGUGUGCAACCCAACAGGCACAAAAUGUACUUGGCAGCAACUGAAGAUUAAAAUAUACUUCAACAGAAGCCAAUAGGAAAAAGGCAGAGGGCUGAAAAACAGGUGGGGGGUCCACCACUCAGAGGCUGAAGAGAGGUCGCCCACUGGGGGCCAUAUUGCUGAAGGCAUCUCGGGAGGAAGCUCAUCUGACCCAACUUUUUCAGAUUCUUAGUUGUCCUUCAGACAUCACAAUCUAUUUUAAGGAGGAUGAUGAAGACAGCUUGUCAGCGGCCACAGAGAGGGAAGAUACAGAGAGGCCUAUUGAGAGCAAUGCUGGAAAUUACAGUGAGGAAGAGGGUCCAUCUACCUCGACAGCACAACUUACCUAAGAUGUUCAGCUUUGGCCCAUGACUUACAAUGAUACUAAGUAGACCUGGCACUGUGAAAUUCAAUGGCAUUUGUUUUCCUAUAUCUCCCUGUGAAAAAGGUGUACUUAAAGAAACAAAUUGAAAAAUGUCAUUUAGAAAUUGACCACAAGGCUGCAGAUGCUAAAAAUAGAACUGCUGGGACAUUAAAGGUGGGUGAGGUACCCACAGGUGGAUGACUUUACUUAUAUGAACAACAUCAAAAAUAUGAACUACUGCAUUUGUACUGGCAGGAAAAAAAGAAUACUUCAUAAUAAGAAAGGCAUAUUGUCUUUGACACUGCGGAGGUGAUGGGUCAAUCAGAAAUGGUAGCAUGUUGUCUCUUCCAUCUCGUGCAUCAGCAGGGUGGUCAGGCUCAUUCACUGGUUGAGUAUGACAUUGUUCUGCUCCAAUUGUGGCAAUGUUGUGGAGAAUCACACAUUCCACAAUAAUGUCAAAUGCUCAUUCUGGGGUGGCCCUGAGCCUAUAAAGGCACUGGAACCGGGCCUUGAGCAUCCCAAUGGUCAUCUCUACCCUGGCUCGUGUCCUGCAGUGAGCCAAGUUCUAAAGAUGCUGUGGGCUGGGCUCAGGGUAAGGGGUCAGCAAAUAAGGCUGGCAGGGGUACUCAAAGCUUUAUACUAAAUUAAUUGUUGCUUUGACUGAUAUCUGCAAUUAUGUGGAAUUCUUUGAGUCUUGUGGGUCUGUGACUUGGACACCACAAAAGUGUACAGUGAAUGUUUCAGCGCAAGAGACAUUUCUGACAGCCCGACAGACUGUUGCCUUGGAAAUAUGCUCAGCGUCACCGAUGUUAUAUAAGAAAACUCCCAUUGGCAAAAAGAAAAAGUACAACACAAAGAAUUUGUGUAAAUAGAAAUAGGCCUAUGCCAGUGAUAGGAAACCCUGUUCCUGGAGAGCCACAGGGACUGCAGGAUUUUGCUUUAAUGGACCAAGACCAGGUGUGUU